AAGGGCUUGAAGUUGCAAAAUAAUAGUUCUAUAGGGGCAUUUCUCAGGAUGCUGCAUUGUCUACUAAAUGCAACCAUAUGCCUCCCACUGCCAUCACUACCAGUUUGCCUGCUCCAGACCAAACCAGGAGCAACCCAUCUCUGAUCUGAUCCCCAUACAGUGGAUUCAAAGCAUCCCUAACCUUGUCUUAUCCUGCAAGAUAUGGGCCAUGUACCAAUAGCUUUGCCCACCCCCCUUUCUUAUUUUGAAUUUCCUGUCCAAAUGUAAUUGUUUUUUUGGCUUGGAACCCAAAGGUCAGACUGCCCUUUCUUCUGUCCCGGACAACACAUUUUAUGGUGAUACAGUUUUCUUCCAGAUAAAUAAUUGAUGGGCAAUAAAAACACAACCUGCAAAAUUUGCAAUAAUCUUUAUAUCUUGGUCAACUAAGUUCAAAAAACAGAGGUGAAUUUGUGGUAUGGAAUCAUUUCUCAGAUGAAGCCUGUCAGUGAAACAAAAUCUUUAUAAUUUGCAUUAUAUCUUUGGAAAAUACAGCUGAUGUGAAAAUACAAAAUUUAUACAAUGUACUCUGUAUGUAAGGUGUUUGCAAUUCAUAGCACUUAUUUCUUAAUCAAGCUAAUAUUAAUAUUUCAUAGAUGGAAAUAGUUCUUGAAAUCCACUGUAUUUAUUCAUAAACCCUUAUUAAUUUUGUUAAUCAAUGCACUCAUUGGACAAUAGGGGGUUAUAAAAAAUGACUUUAUCCAAGGUAUUCCCUAUCUACAAAAAGUAUAAAAAGAAAAAUCUGUUUUUUGUUAAGUAAAUGUUAAG